ACGGCUCAGUAACACGUGGCUAAUCUGCCCUUGGGACCGGAACACCCCCGGGAAACUGGGGCUAAUUCUCGAUAGGUGAAGAACUCUGGAAUGAGUCUUUGCCAAAAAGACGUUUACGUUAUGCUCGUAGGCGUCGCCCAAGGAUGAGGCCGCGACCGAUCAGGUUGUUGGUGAGGUAAUGGCUCACCAAGCCUUUUACCGGUGCGGGCCGUGAGAGCGGGAGCCCGGAGAUGGGCACUGAGACAAGGGCCCAGGCCCUACGGGGCGCAGCAGUCGCGAAAACUUUGCAAUACACGAAAGUGUGACAGGGCUAUCCCGAGUGCCAUCCGCUGAGGAAGGCUUUUACCCAGUCUAGAACGCUGGGGGAAUAAGGAGAGGGCAAGUCUGGUGUCAGCCGCCGCGGUAAUACCAGCUCUCCGAGUGGUGUGGAUGUUUAUUGGGCCUAAAGCAUCCGUAGCUGGCUGAGUUAGUCCCUUGUUAAAUCCACCGAAUUAAUCGUUGGAUUGCGGGGGAUACUGCUCGGCUAGGGGACGAGAGAGGCAGACGGUAUUUCCGGGGUAGGGGUGAAAUCCUAUAAUCCCGGGAAGACCACCAGUGGCGAAGGCUGUCUGCUAGAACGCGCCCGACGGUGAGGGAUGAAAGCUGGGGGAGCGAACCGGAUUAGAUACCCGGGUAGUCCCAGCUGUAAACGAUGCUGGCUAGGUGUUUGGACGGCCACGUGCCGUUCUAGUGCCGCAGGGAAGCUGUUAAGCCUGCCGCCUGGGGAGUACGGUCGCAAGAUUGAAACUUAAAGGAAUUGGCGGGGGAGCAC
rnacentral:rRNA from 1 species